rfam:Hypsibius dujardini strain Z151 scaffold0796, whole genome shotgun sequence.
AGAUAAAGCUACUAAGGCAUAGGUGGUACCUUGGGGAAGUAGAGGCGAUGAAGAGACGUCGGUGUACAUCUGCGGAUAUUUGCUUCGGGGAGCUAGGUAAAUAAGCUUUGUAUCCGGAGAUUCCGAAGUGGGGCAAUCCCCUUUACAUGAGAUGUUGUAAAUGACACUGCAUGAGUUCAAGUAGUGCUGAUGAGUCGACGCAGGCGAAUGAAACACUCUAAGUUACCUGCAGCUGAGUAGAAUCAAACGAGAUUUUCUUGCAGUAGCGGCGAGCGCAGAAUCGCAGAAGAGCCCAAAACCAUUUGUGCGUGCACAUUGGGGUUGUAGGAUCUCGUAUCAAGGGGAGUUAGUUAGCAAGAACGGUUUGGGAAGGCCGGCAUAGAGAGUGAAAGCUCGUAUAAUACGAAAACUAACAACACCUGGCACGAGUAUUCCCUGAGUAGAAUCGGGGCACGUUGAAAACCCUGUUUGAAACUGGGGGGACCACCCUCCAAGCUACAAAUACUACCUUACUACCACCGUAGUGGAGCUAGUAAACGGCGAGGGAAGGUGAAGAAAGAACCCCGAUAGAGGCGGAGUGAAAUAGAUUUUUUGAAACCGUAUGCUUACAAACAGUCAGGAGGGCUAUUGUUAAAGCCUGAUGACGUAACCUUUUGCAUUUGAUUCAGCGAGUUUAUGGCUAUGUGGCAGGUUAAGCCGUUGCGAGGGUGUAGCCGUAGGGAAACCGAGUACUGAAGUAGGGCGUUAAGUCGGCAGUGCUUGUAGAGCCCGAAACGGGAUGACUGCUAUCAUGUUGCGGCAGGCUUUUUGAAGCGGAGGGUAAAACUUCGUAUUGGACCUGGGACCGAACUCUUUGAAGGUUAAACUUUGGGAUGACUGUGGAUUAGGGAGUGAAAGGCUAAUACAAACUUCGGAAUAGCGGUUCUCUCCGAAAAUCUAUUUAGGUCAUGCGUUCUAACGUAUUUUCGGGGGUACAGCACUGACUAUGGAUAGAGGGUCACGCGUAGCUUACCAAACCUAUUCAAACUCCGAAUACCAGACGAGUCGAGCAGUGAGACAGAUGCGGAUGCUAAGUCCGUGGUCAAGAGGGAAAGAAACCCAGCCGCCAGUAAGGUCCCAGAAGAUACAUACUAAAUCUGGACAUGAAGUGAGCGAAGGUUGAAACUGACAGUCAGGAGGUUGCUUAGAAGCAGCCCACCCUUUAAAGAAGCCUCGUGAAUAGCCACUGGACUUGUGGUUCUGCGGCCGAAAAUGUAACUGGGCUUAAGUGUUCGUACGAAGCUACUGGACUUUUUUAAGUGGUAGGAGCACUUUGUGUGUGCCUUGAAUGAAGGCGUACCGUACAGGAGCGUUGGGUCUCCACAAGAGCUUGAUGCUGAAUGAGUAGCGAUUAAGGACGAGCGAGAAUCUUCUCCCCCGUAAUAAUCUGGAAGGGUUCCUGGGCUCAGGUGGAAUCCUCCCAGGGUAAGUCGGUUUCUAAGGCGAGCGCCGAAAGGCGUAGUUUCGCAUGAACCAUCAGGUUAAUAUUCCUGAACUUGUAUGGUAAACGUUUGACUGGAAGGAGUGACGGAGAAAGAUAGCAGAUCUGGAGCAUUGUUGUUCCAGAUGUGAGGGUAGUAGGUGUGUGAGAUAGGCAAAUGCCGUCACAGUAUAUCACAAGGCCUUUGAUUGCCGAAUGCGCAAGCAGAGUCUGUUACUCUACGCCUUCCAAGAAAAAGUUCGCUAGGGAGUUAUGUAUUAAUCCGUCGCUUAAACCCGACACAUGGGUUAUAGAUGAGGAGAAAUCCUAAGGUGAUUGGAUGAACUCUACGUUAAGCCCGCCCCUCUGGCAACUUAGAUACUGGUAACUUCGGGAGAAGGCGCUGAAUGUGAAGUCACUUGCUGACGUAGCAUUAUGAGGGUUGCAGUAAAUGGGGUGAGCGACGUGUUUUUACCAAAAACAAGGGCCUUACUGCAACACGCAAGUGGAAGUAUAUUGGGCUGAGCGCUGCCGCGGUGCUGGAAGGUUAAUGAGGUGGGUUAUGCGCAAGCGCGCAAGCUUUUAAAUUUUUGACAGUCCCAGUAAAACGGGCGGCGUAACAUAUACGGUUCCUAGUAGCGAAUUUCGUUAGUCGGGUAAGUCGACCUGACGAAUCGGCGUAACGGACUCCCCCUGUCGUCGAAUCUGCGAGAUCCAGCGAAAUUUUGCGGUUGUGAGCGUCUGUGAAGAAACGCGCUUCGACCGCGCGGAGGAUCCGAACAGAGGACCCCGUGAGCCUUUACUUGGUAAAAAAACCUUUUUGGUGGGGGCAUUUGGGUUUAUUCGGGAAAAUAAAGGGGCCAUGCGUCUAGGAUAGGUGGGAGUUUUUGAUCGUGCGUUCCGGCGAAUUGAGCGUUCGGGGAGAACCAACCUUGGAAAUACCACCCUUGCUUAUUUUGGUAAGUCCAUAACCUGCGGUCCUAAUUCGCGGGCCGGGGGACAAAUUGUCUGUGUGGGCACGUUUUGACUGGGGGGCGGUCGGCCUCACUAGAAAGAGUAACGGAGGCGCCGAAGGUCCUCUGAGCAGUUGGAAAUCCGGCGAAAGGAGUGUAAACGCAUUAAGGGAGCUUGACUGCGAGACAAACACGUCGAGCAGGAACGAAAGUCGCGGCUUAGUGAUCCGGUGAGUUUGCCGAGUUGGAAGGGCCAUCGCUCAACGGAUAAAAGGUACUCCGGGGAUAACAGGCUGAUCUCCCCCAAGAGUUCACAUCGACGGGGAGGUUUGGCACCUCGAUGUCGGCUCAUCACAUCCUGGGGCUGAAGCAGGUCCCAAGGGUUUGGCUGUUCGCCAAUUAAAGUGGUACGCGAGCUGGGUUCAGAACGUCGUGAGACAGUUCGGUCCCUAUCUACUGUGGGCGCAGGAAAUUUGAGGGGGUCUGUCCUUAGUACGAGAGGACGACCGGAGUGAUGAACGAAACUCUGGUGUACUCGGUUGUCACGCCAGUGCAUGCCGGUAGCUAAGUUCGGAAGAUAAACCGCUGAAAGCAUCUAAGCGGGAAGCUAGCCUAAGAUGAGUUCCCUAGCACCCUUGAGUCCUAAGGCCGUUCGAGACCAGACGUUGAUAGGUGGGGGUGGAAGCGCUAGUGUGAGCUACCAUACUAAUUCCGUGAGGCUUACCUAU